GCCCCUUGCUUACACCAAGAAAUUAUCUGUUAAACCCAGAUUGUUUUGA
rnacentral:tRNA from 1 species